GACGAACGCUGGCGGCGUGCUUAACACAUGCAAGUCGAACGGAAAGGCCCUGCUUUUGUGGGGUGCUCGAGUGGCGAACGGGUGAGUAACACGUGAGUAACCUGCCCCUGACUUUGGGAUAACUUCAGGAAACUGGGGCUAAUACCGGAUAGGAGCUCCUGCUGCUUGGUGGGGGUUGGAAAGUUUCGGCGGUUGGGGAUGGAAUCGCGGCUUAUCAGAUUGUUGGUGGGGUAGUGGCUUACCAAGGCUUUGACGGGUAGCCGGCCUGAGAGGGUGACCGGCCACAUUGGGACUGAGAUGCGGCCCAGCCUCCUACGGGAGGCAGAGGUGGAGAAUAUUAUAUAAGGGGCGGAACGCUGAUGCAGUCACGCCGCGUGGGGGAUGAGGGCCUUCGGGUUGUAUACCGCUUUCGCCUGUGACGAGGCGUGAGUGACGGUAAUGGGUAAAGAAGCACCGGCUAACUACGUG
rnacentral:rRNA from 1 species